rnacentral:rRNA from 1 species
UACGAAUCGUCCAAACGUUGUUCGGAUUUACUGGGUUUAAAGGGCACGUAGGCGGUGCGCUAAGUCGGUGGUGAAAUACUUCGGCUCAACCGGAGAAUUGCCGCUGAAACUGGCGUGCUCGAGGGAGGUAGAGGUGCGUGGAACUUCCGGUGGAGCGGUGAAAUGCGUUGAUAUCGGAAGGAACACCUGUGGCGAAAGCGAUGCACUGGACCUCUUCUGACGCUGAGACGCGAAAGCCAGGGGAGCGAACGGG